rnacentral:rRNA from 1 species
GAAUUUUCGACAAUGGUGGCAACCCUGAUCCAGCCAUCCCGCGUGUGCGAUGAAGGCCUUCGGGUUGUAAACUUCUUUGAUCGGGGACGAAGAUGACGGUACCCGAGGAACAAGCCACGGCUAACUACGUGCCCGCAUCCGCGGUAAUACGUAGGGGGCGAGCGUCGUCCGGAAUUACUGGGCGUAAAGGGUGCGCAGGCGGCCGAUUAAGUAAGAUGUGAAGUACCACGGCUCAACUGUGGGGGUGCAUUUGAAACUGGUUGGCUUGAGUGCAGGAGAGGAAAGUGGAAUUCCUAGUGUAGCGGUGAAAUGCGUAGAUAUUAGGAGGAACACCAGUGGCGAAGGCGACUUCCUGGACUGUAGCUGACACUGAGGCGCGAAAGCUAGGGGGGCAAAC